GAUGGGUAGCUAGGUAGGUUGAUAAAUUUGCCAACAAAGUCCGAUUGAUGGAUUGUGUUAUGGAUCAAUUUCUUUCCCGCGAUGUUCUUGAUUCGGCUUGAGGUUUCCGUGAUAUUCGUGAUUCGGCUUGAGAUUUCUGAGUUGUUCUUGCUUUGUCUUAUGGCUCCAUGAGGUUUUGGCUUCGAUUUAUGAUCUCCAUAAUGAAUUUGCUUCGACUAGAGAUUCCUAUUGGAUUUCCUCCAUGGAACAGGGCAAAUGUGAUUGGGCAGGGUGGGUUUAGCUUCUCUUGAUAGCUUUGGUUUCCUAGAUCCAAGUUCUUGAUGGUUUUGAUCGAAUGAUGUCAUUCGUUGUUCUUCAUGGGAAUUUUCAAUGCUAAUAUAAUGUGGUUCCACCUUGCAAGUUCUCUCCAUAAUGUUAAAUGUCUGGUUGAUGGUAUGGGUCGCAAGUCAAGAUUCUGUGCUGUUCUUGUUCCAUUCAAUGGGUUAAGGGGUAGAUGUCUUAGAGAAUAGGCCACAGAUUGGUUGCCAUUGAUGCUUCACAUCUUCUUGUCUUUUUUUCUUCGAGUUAUGAUGUCGUCUUUCUCUGUUCUUCCAUUGCCAAAAGUUUUGUAUCGAUUUCUUCACUGGGUAGUUGGGUUGGAUUGAAGCUGCCCUUGUUCCUCUUACCAUAUUCUGGAUUUUUGGACAGAUAAAUGGAGUUUUGAAUUGCUUUGUUUUCUUUUCGGUACAUGAAGAUUUUGGUCAAAUUGUGGUAGUUGUUUCAAGCCUUGUUAGAAGAUGCUUUUGUUUGUCCUAUCAUUUUAAAAGUAUUGAAUAAAUUAUGAUAGUGUAGAUCCAAACCUUGAUGCUCUGUGCCAUUGAAUAACUAAGGACUUCUGGGGGAUUUAAUUCGAAUCUGUUAUGUUCUUGCAUAGCUAUGGUUUUGGUGAAGUUAUUUGUUGACUAUGGGAUUCACCGAGGUUGCCGUGACUUGUGGAUAGGUUUGAUUUGUGGUAGUGCCAAUUCAAUGGGAGUUUGUUCCUUGUGUUGUUCGGAAUCUAUUCUAAUUCUUAAUCUAAUUCUAUAUGCUGUAAGUGUUAAAUGCUUCCUUAGUUCCUUAUUAUGUGAGUAAACUUUUAGUUAUAUCCAUUUGAUGUAGGUGUUGAAAUCUAGUCUAGUUCUCUACUGUGAGUACAAGUUUCUAGUUGUUUCUUUCAAGUAUCGAAAUAUGAUUAGGUGCUCAAUUUCCAUUUCUCAUCGCUCUCUUUCGUGGAUGCAUGCUUUCAUUGUUUUCCCUCAAGCUAAUUGGAUGGAUAUGAGCAUAUGUGGUGACGGUACGGGUUAGGUGCCCCGGGAUGAGCUCCGAGAAGGGUCCUUCCAAACAUAACUGAUACUAUAAUUUAUGACCGAUACUGUAAUUUAUUGUUAGCUUCGGCUAUAUGAUUGUAUGUUCUCUAGGAGGUACCUCUAAGGUCAUGGGACUGUUUGACUGGCUCUAUUAGUGGUUACUGGAUAUGUGACAUACUCACCCUUAUUAGCUAUGUAGGAUCUUUCACAUAUUGCAUUUUUCUUUGUUAUACUGUAUUUGAGUUAUGUUCUAUGUUUACUAGUUGUUAUU